rnacentral:lncRNA from 10 species
AUGAAGUCCUAGCAACAAGUCUCCUGCCUCUAAAAUUACGCUCCACAAGACAAACUCAUCCACUCCUCCGUCUUCUCAUCCCCAAGGCCUAAGACAUCUCUGACCUUAUCUCCAAAUACAGUCACCUUCCAAGAUACUGAGGAUUAAGACAUCAACAUAUGGAUUUAAGGGGACACAAUUCAACCCCUUGCAAAGAGCUACAGAUAUCUUUAUUCUACUACUCAUAAAAUGUCUUAGGAAUACAAUAGCCAUUAGAACAUUAACUGGUUGCAAAAGGUUGAAUUGCUGAAGAAACCAGCUGUUUUUCAGAAAGAGAAAAAGCUUUCAUGCAGCAUUCUUCAUUUAGA